UUCUGGCUCAGGAUGAACGCUAGCUACAGGCUUAACACAUGCAAGUCGAGGGGCAUCAUGGAGUCAGCUUGCUGACUUGAUGGCGACCGGCGAAAGGGUGAGUAACGCGUGAGCAACAUGCCCGGUACCGGGGGAUAGUCGAUGGAAACGUCGCGUAAUACCCCGUAACAACAGAGGCCGCAUGACCUUUGUUUAAGAGAUUUAUCGCUACCGGAUUGGCUCGCGUCCCAUUAGGCAGUUGGCGGGGUAACGGCCCACCAAACCGACGAUGGGUAGGGGUUCUGAGAGGAAGGUCCCCCACAUUGGAACUGAGACACGGUCCAGACUCCUACGGGAGGCAGCAGUGAGGAAUAUUGGACAAUGGCCGAGAGGCUGAUCCAGCCAUGCCGCGUGCGGGAGGACGGCCCCUAUGGGUUGUAAACCGCUUUUGUUGGAGAGCAAUAAGGUCCACGUGUGGAUCGAUGAGAGUAUCCAGCGAAUAAGCAUCGGCUAACUCCGUGCCAGCCGCUGC
rnacentral:rRNA from 1 species